UGUUGGAGGCUUUAUCUUCUCUGUAUUGAGUUUAAUUCCCAAGCUAGAAAUGAAAUGAAAUGUUAUUCCGUUGUUUAGAAAACCUUGAACUAUUGGGGAUUACAGAAACCAAUGUAGGUAUGGCAACUUUGGCUAAUGUACUAUUUGGGUUGCCGAAACUCAAAAACUUGCCAAUGUUUUUCUAUGUGAUGUUUUGGAGUUUGUUGAGAUGGAAGAUACUCAGGUUUGGAGGAGGGGGAUCCCAGUCCUAGAUUGAAAAUUCAGGAGUUUUGUUGUUCCGAGAUCUACCAUUUUCACUCAAGAAAACAAAUGACUCGAGUUUCCAAGAUGUUUCCUUAUAUAAGAGAAGUAAGUUUCUUC